CUGCACCUGACUUCCAGGUGUGCUCCUAAUGAAAUGCAGACGAGAAGAAGCAGGCUCUGGGAGAGAGAAGCUCCAAAGCUAGUAGAGGCACUGAUGAGUCCUUGGGAUAUAUUUCAUAAAACCUCAGACCUUCGGGGACUUCCUGGCAUGACAGCUUCUUUUUUUCUUGAGAGCUUGCAGUGUAUGUGGGAAAAAAGAAGAUCUUACUGAUAACAGGAAAAUCUGGCUGAGCUGAUAACCAUGGUGUCCGGGACAAGGUCCUGGCCGAGAAGCAAAGCUGACAGAUGCCUGGCUCCUACUGGAAGUGGAAUGCUAUCCCUCAAGGCAAUGCUGAGGAGGAGAGUGAAACCCUAAGUAUCCAUAUAGAAGAAUUCUUUACUGGUCCUGUUGGAAAAAGCCAAGUGAAAUGGCCUGGAGAUAUAUCCCUUGUGUCGCAUUGAACUGAAGUGGAUCUCUUGCUUAUUCCCGAGGUAAUGACUGCAUGUCAGCAGUAAAUUAACUUUAUUCCAUCGCACCCACAGUGGAGCCGUACGUCUUGGAGAGCACAUCGACGUAGAAUGAGUGUGCCUGGAGAUUAUGUGGGCAAUUGGAGAUGAACAUCAAUUUACUCGGGCUAGAAAAUAAAAGUUUCAGGUUUCCCUCACAGGUGGAAGUGUGCUCAUUCCUACCAUGAAGAACUCCUGUAGCCAUAAUCCAUUGGGGACACACGCAGCAACCCUCACGCUUGCAGGGCAUACUGAGGAAUCAUAACCUGUGAGGUGAUAGAAUCGCUUCUCCUUACUCUCUCUGGGUUUCAGGACACUGGAGGAUAGCAUCAAUGCAUACCUGCAGGUGUAAUAUUUAGUGAUUUGACACUUCCAUACAACCCCUGGUGCUCAUCACAGCAAGUGCCCUCCUGAGUCCCCACCACGUGUUCAACUGGCCCCAGCCCACCUCCUCUCUGUUACCAUGCCAAGACUUGAGAUAUUCUAGGAAAUGAUAUAGACUCCCUGAUGUCAAGUGGCUUAGAGUCUACCGAUACAGGAAUGGGCAGUUACAAAGCAGGGAAAAGCUUCCUGUCAGUUCGCUGUGUUCUGCCUGCAGCUGCGGAGUAGGGGGAGAUGAACAAGACUGUGGGCAAGGGGGAGAAGCCAACAGUCUGCACCGGGAUGCAGCGGUGGGGCAGAUUGUGACAGAGGUAUUUAGGAGAGGCCCUAAGCCGAGCGCAGCUGUCCAUUGGAUUGGAGGGUGAAGGGACAUGGCCAAUGGAGGAAGACCACCCGGUGGACAGGACCCGCCUCUGCCCCACCCCACUUCAACCUACAACUGGAGGAAGGCAGAUCCUGGAGGCAGGACUUAGGAGAACCUGCUGCGGGAUGUCGGGCAGGUGACUUUGCCAUGCAGUGCUUCUUUCUGUCAAAUAGGAUAUUCUCCUGCUUCCCGGAGAAGGGUAUUGUGAGGACUGAGUCAGAUGACAGAUGGAGACUUGCCACCAGUCUGCCGAAUGGUGGAGAGUGACCCUUUCCGGGUCAGCAUCAUGAAAGACUUUCAACUUCUGAAAUCAGGCUAGCAUCAGAUAUGUGACAUGACAAGGGAACAUUUUCCCCAUUCAGAGGAUCGUUAAAGGAUAUGAAAGCCAGCAGAUCAUUGUUAUGCAAGAGGAAACAACAUAAAUGGAAAAAUCUAUGAACAUCAUAUCCAUAAGUCUCUGGGAAAUUUGCAGUGGAAACAAAUGGGCCAGAGUAUGAAUGGGUAAUGCUUCACCAAUGGGAACCUGGGAACCAUGGGGCCAAGCUCAUAGCAGAAUGAUCCAUUCUGUUCAGCAUGAAAUGAUUCUUCUGGUGAAACAGAGGAAAGGCAGUUUAACCACCUGCUCCUCUACCGUAAGAUCUAGGCAUCUGGGCUUUGACUUCUGGAAGAUGAAAGAAUGCUUAAGCAUAUUCCUCUGGGAAUAGGGCAGGUGCAUGGUGGAUUCUUCUGCAGGUGAGUGGAACCCCUUUGGCCAUGUCCCCACAAACUUGGCAGUGUUUGGAGAUCGGGGUUUAUUCCACACUCCUCAGGUUUUUUUCUGAAGAUGGAAUUAGGAGAUAAGGCCACUUCAGGAAGUUGGACAUGGUAUCCAACACAAUGCUUCUUAGAGCAAGUUCCAGUCCUCCCUGAUAAAAGGAUAGCUCCUGCUUGAUUGGGGAGUAUUUGGCAACCAGGCCAAAGUCUCCAUUCUGUCCCUUCGUAAACAUAUUCUGGAUUUUCUCCAAAUCCCUACCUACUUGGGAAUACAGUUCUGCGUCUCCUUAAAUCAUGUCUUCCUCAUGCAGAUUUGAUUGAUCCACUAGUGGAAGCCAACAGCUCCUCCCCCUAGGGUCCUUAUGCAUCCACUGGGAAGUAUGCAUCAUAUGCAAAGCACUUUGGAAUCUGUUUGUUCCUGCCCAGCAUCCAUCCUCCCUUUGUGUAAUAGCUCCAGGAUUUCCCAACAGGAAUCUUCUGGACAACUAUUCAUUUCCUUCUUAGGAUUCAGUAAUUUUACAGAAGAGAGGCUCAGGGCAACUUUCAUCUCUUUUUGAAUAAUAAGAAAUAAUAAUAAUCAUGAGUUAACCUUUAUUGAAUGUUUAAGUGCACAUAACUGUAGUAAGUACUUAUCAUAUAUUAUCUCAUGUAAUCCUCACACAUACAUUUAUCAAUAAAACACUACUAUUCCUAUUUUAUAGAAGCAGAGACUGAAAGUCAAGAGGCCGAUAUUGCAGAACCACUCUGCCUCUGACUUCAAAGUCUAUACUUUGGCCACUAUGCUCUGGGCUGACUCACAACUCGUUUUUGUUUUUUUUUCCGGAUUUACAAUACAAAUCAGAGGAUUAAAUGCUCUGAGAUGCACUCAGUAAAGAACCCUAUUUAAUAUUCCUUAACUUUAAACAACAUUAAGAACUCUGUUUAGCUCUGCCAGGUACUAUUGCUACAGUGGGCAGGUACAUCCCUUCCUGACCUAUGUGGUCAGAACAGGACAAUUGUGUAGAAGUUGGAAUAGUGCUAUUGCUUUUGGUGGUGGUGGUGAUGGUGGUGAUGAUGGUGGUAGAAUUUACAGAAAGACUAGUUUGUUCUAGGCACUGUCCAUGCUUUAUCUCAUCUAAUCCUUAUAAUUACGAUGAAGAGUGAGUACUGUUAUUGUCCAAUUCAGUAGAUGGGAACACUGGAACAUCAAGAGCUAUCUUGCCCAAGGUCACACCACCAGGAAAUGGUAGAACAGGGAUUCAAACCCCUAUCUACCUAAAUUCUCAGCCACCCUGGUAGCUUGAGCUAACUCAAAGGACCUGAUGAUUUCUUUUCAAAGUCUUAAACGAACCAGAAAAGGCAGGUACCCUUGUCCAUCUGUCCCUCUGUCUUCUAGAACUCAACACAUUAGAGCCUGUGGAGGCUCUGCUGUCAGCAAGAGAGCUCUUCUGCAGGAGCCUGUGAGGGGAAGGGAGUCCCACAAGCCCCAUUGCAGCAGCGUGGACAUUGCUCUAUGUGGAACCUUAUAGACCGGGAGUAGAUUAAAGCUCCAAGAUACACGAAUUUCAAAAUUGAAGCAAUAAAGCACAUUUUUUUCUUGGCUUGCAAUUGCCCCUUAA